rnacentral:rRNA from 1 species
GACGAACCGUGCGAACGUUAUUCGGAAUCACUGGGCGUAAAGGGCGCGUAGGCGGCUUUGUAAGUCGGGGGUGAAAGCCUGUGGCUCAACCACAGAAUUGCCUUCGAUACUGCAUGGCUUGAGACCGGAAGAGGUAAGUGGAACUGCGAGUGUAGAGGUGAAAUUCGUAGAUAUUCGCAAGAACACCAGUGGCGAAGGCGGCUUACUGGUCCGGUUCUGACGCUGAGGCGCGAAAGCGUGGGGAGCAAACAGG